UUUGUGGUGAGUGUGGAACAAGGAAUUUUCUUUGUGACCUAAGGGUCCCUUUCCUCCCUCAGUUUCUGAAUGGCUUCCUUUCCCCAGCAGAGAGAAAUAGCAGAGGAGAUUGUAAUGAAAUAACUCAAUUUAAAUAAAGAAAAGAUGGGCCUGCACAGAUCUGAUACCAUGCAGACAUUAUUGAAGCUUCUUCAGGUCCACUGAGAAGAAGGCUACAAUAAACAGAUGACACACAGGGCUGCUUACAGCAAGCUCUGGCCAUACCAUGCGACAAUAAAGGAUGGAGGAAAAUGGGUGUGGAUGAUUCUGCCAAAGCACUACGGGCGUUGGAUGGAUGAAAGGAGCGCCACAGUGCAAGUUUCUUGUUUCUGCGUGAAACAGCAGUGCGUACUGUACUACCCAGACCGAAACGGACUGAGGGUUAGCAGUGAGUGA
rnacentral:lncRNA from 1 species